AUUGAACGCUGGCGGCAGGCCUAACACAUGCAAGUCGAACGAGUGGCGGACGGGUGAGUAAUGUCUGGGAAACUGCCCGAUGGAGGGGGAUAACUACUGGAAACGGUGUCUAAUACCGCAUACCAUCGGAUGUGCCCAGAUGUGGUUAGCUAGUGGGUGGGGUAACGGCUCACCUAGGCGACGAUCCCUAGCUGGUCUGAGAGGAUGACCAGCCACACUGGAACUGAGACACGGUCCAGACUCCUACGGGAGGCAGCAGUGGGGAAUAUUGAACAAUGGGCGAAAGCCUGAUGUAGCCAUGCCGCGUGUAUGAAGAAGGCCUUCGGGUUGUAAAGUACUUUCAGCGAGGAGGCGUUACCCGCAGAAGAAGCACCGGCUAACUCCGUGCCAGCAGCCGCGGUAAUUC
rnacentral:rRNA from 1 species